AAGUCGUCGGAGGUGGAGCCCGCGCCCGAUUAGCUAGUUGGUGAGGUAAUGGCUCACCAAGGCAAUGAUCGGUAGCUGGUCUGAGAGGAUGGCCAGCCACACUGGAACUGAGACACGGUCCAGACUCCUACGGGAGGCAGCAGUGGGGAAUCUUGCGCAAUGGGCGAAAGCCUGACGCAGCGACGCCGCGUGGGGGAUGAAGCACCUCGGUGUGUAAACCCCUUUCGACUGGGACGAAUGCCUCGCAAGAGGAGUGACGGUACCAGUAGAAGAAGCCCCGGCUAACUACGUGCCAGCAGCCGCGGUAAGACGUAGGGGGCCAGCGUUGUUCGGAAUUACUGGGUGUAAAGGGUUCGUAGGCGGUGUAGCAAGUCGGGAGUGAAAUCUCUGGGCUUAACUCAGAGGCUGCUUCCGAAACUGCUGUGCUGGAGUGUGGGAGAGGCGCGUGGAAUUGCAGGUGUAGCGGUGAAAUGCGUAGAUAUCUGCAGGAACACCCGUGGCGAAGGGCGGCGCGCUGGACCACUACUGACGCUGAGGAACGAAAGCUAGGGGAGCAAACAGGAUUAGAUACCCUGGUAGUCCUAGCCCUAAACGAUCAGGACUUGGGGUGCCACCCGUUCGGGUGUCGUCCCGGAGCUAACGCGUUAAGUCCUGCACCUGGGGAGUACGGUCGCAAGACUGAAACUCAAAGGAAUUGACGGGGGCCCGCACAAGCGGUGGAACAUGUGGUUCAAUUCGACGCUACGCGAGGAACCUUACCUGGGCUCGAAAUGCUUCUGACCAGCUGUGGAAACACGGCCUUCCCGCAAGGGACAGGAGUAUAGGCGCUGCAUGGCUGUCGUCAGCUCGUGCCGUGAGGUGUU
rnacentral:rRNA from 1 species